rnacentral:rRNA from 1 species
AUUGAACGCUGGCGGCAGGCCUAACACAUGCAAGUCGAACGAGUGGCGGACGGGAGAGAUAUGUCGGGGACUCUCCCUGAUGGAGGGGGAAAACUACUGGAAACGGUAGCAUACAGCGCAUACUCUCGUAUUUGCACAGAUGGGAUUAGCUAGUAGGUGGGGUAAAGGCUCACCUAGGCGACGAUCCCUAGCUGGUCUGAGAGGAUGACCAGCCACACUGGAACUGAGACACGGUCCAGACUCCUACGGGAGGCAGCAGUGGGGAAUAUUGCACAAUGGGCGCAAGCCUGAUGCAGCCAUGCCGCGUGUAUGAAGAAGGCCUUCGGGUUGUAAAGUACUUUCAGUGGGGAGGCGUUACCCGCAGAAGAAGCACCGGCUAACUCCGUGCCAGCAGCCGCGGUAAUAC